rnacentral:rRNA from 1 species
AGUGAACGCUGGCGGUAGGCCUAACACAUGCAAGUCGAACGGCAGCACAGGAGAGCUUGCUCUCUGGGUGGCGAGUGGCGGACGGGUGAGGAAUACAUCGGAAUCUACCUUUUCGUGGGGGAUAACGUAGGGAAACUUACGCUAAUACCGCAUACGACCUACGGGUGAAAGUGGGGGACCGCAAGGCCUCACGCGAUUAGAUGAGCCGAUGUCCGAUUAGCUAGUUGGCGGGGUAAUGGCCCACCAAGGCGACGAUCGGUAGCUGGUCUGAGAGGAUGAUCAGCCACACUGGAACUGAGACACGGUCCAGACUCCUACGGGAGGCAGCAGUGGGGAAUAUUGGACAAUGGGCGCAAGCCUGAUCCAGCCAUACCGCGUGGGUGAAGAAGGCCUUCGGGUUGUAAGGCCCUUUUGUUGGGAAAGAAAUCCUGUCGAUUAAUACUCGGUGGGGAUGACGGUACCCAAAGAAUAAGCACCGGCUAACUUCGUGCCAGCCGCCGCAGUAACAC